rnacentral:rRNA from 1 species
GAUGAACGCUAGCGGCAGGCUUAAUACAUGCAAGUCGAGAGGCAGCACGGGUAGCAAUACUUGGUGGCGACCGGCGCACGGGUGCGUAACACGUAUACAACCUACCUAUAACAGGGGGAUAGCCUUUCGAAAGAGAGAUUAAUACCCUGUAAUAAGUUGAAUGGCAUCAUUUGACUGUGAAAGUUCCGACGGUAUAGAUGGGUAUGCGUUUGAUUAGCGAGUUGGUGGUGUAAUGGGCCACCAAGGCGACGAUCAAUAGGGGAUCUGAGAGGGCUAACCCCCACACUGGUACUGAGACACGGACCAGACUCCUACGGGAGGCAGCAGUAAGGAAUAUUGGACAAUGGUCGCAAGACUGAUCCAGCCAUGCCGCGUGCAGGAAGACGGCCCUAUGGGUUGUAAACUGCUUUUGUACCAGAGAAAACCUAUCUACGUGUAGAUAGCUGAUAGUAUGGUAAGAAUAAGCAUCGGCUAACUUCGUGCCAGCCGCCGCCGUAAUAC